rnacentral:rRNA from 1 species
GAUGAACGCUGGCGGUAUGCUUAACACAUGCAAGUCGUACGAAAGUUUUUAACUUUAGUGGCGGACGGGUGAGUAACACGUGAGAAUUUACCUUUAGGAGGGGGAUAACAAUUGGAAACGAAUGCUAAUACCCCAUAUGCUUUUGAGUGAAAUGGAUUUAUCCGCCUAGAGAGAAGCUCGCGGCUGAUUAGCUUGUUGGUAAGGUAAGAGCUUACCAAGGCGACGAUCAGUAUCUGGUUUGAGAGGACGAUCAGACACACUGGAACUGAGACACGGUCCAGACUCCUACGGGAGGCAGCAGUGGGGAAUUUUCCGCAAUGGGCGAAAGCCUGACGGAGCAAUACCGCGUGAGGGAAGACGGCCUAUGGGUUGUAAACCUCUUUUUUCAGGGAGGAAUAAAAUGACGUUAC